CCUUUGAACAUUUCAUUUGUGCUAGAAGCAACUUAGUUUCCCUUUUUCUGUUUUUUGUUUCAGUUUCAUAUCUUUGAUCUUUUUUUCUUUCCUUUUUUUUGUUUGUUUGUUUUGUUUUGUUUGUUUGUAUCUUCAUCGCCGUAAUUGAUUGAUAGACUUGAUGAUGAUGAAACAAAGGAGGAGAUCUAUGUGCAGAUUUGUUCGACAAUUUAGCCCUCUAAAGUCAGAUCUCUGUAUCUCUCUCUAUUUUCCUUCCAUUCCAUAUAUUCGAUUUCCAGAUUUUUUUAAAUUUCUUUUGGUUUUGUCUUCAGCCCUUUAGUCAAGUCAUAGAGACGAUGAUGACGGAGUUAAAGAGAUCUAUACGUAGGUUUUUGGCUCAAACCCAAAUUAUAAACAUUCAUAUCUAUCACAUUUGGUGUUGUUCUAUACGCAGGUUUUUGGCUCAAACCCAAAUUAUAAACAUUCAUAUCUAUCACAGUUGAUGUCGUUUCGUUCAUCGAUUCACAUAUAAAUCUAGCAAAAUCCAAGAGAGGAGUUGUGCAGUUUUAUCCAGUAGAGUUGGAGCAGGAGGUUUACAAGAGUACUCUUCAAUGCAGUUAAACAUUCUCAGAGGCAUCUUCUGUUUGUUGUUUUUUUUUUUGGGUGAGCUACCUCUUUAGUUCUAGUUCAUGAAUAUGCGUUCAAAUCAAACAUUGACAGUCUCACAUAUGCACGUAUCGAGGGGGAUUUUUUUUUCUUCUUAUUUUAGCUAAUUUUUUGUAUAAAUAACUGUUUGUUUACUUUUUAACAGACCAUUAAACUUGCACAUGUUGAGACUGCAUCGAGUUUGUGGUCAUCUCUCUCUCUCUCUCUCUCUCUCUCUCUCUCUCUCUCUUAAUUUGGUAUGCAACUUAUGCAUUAUGAUCAUUAGCCUUUCUGGCCACGCUAAUAUUCUCUGUCGUGUUCUAUGAAAUAGUUAUGAAGUGUCAGUUUUCUCUUGCACAAACCACCCUCCGGCAAAAAAAGAUAGGCAAAUUCCCAAAUUCUUAAACGCUUGGCAAUGCAUUUGCUUAUUUGCAAUACAAUUAUCCCUUUUUUCAAAUGACAAUAAACCUGUUAACUGUGCUACUAGCUCUUCUUGAAUUAUUUUGCAUAUAUUCUUGAUUGUACAAAUUGGAAAACUAUGGUUGAUAAUUAGUGUUGUGUGGGGGUCUUAACAAAGUUAUCUGGCUUGGCUCUCAAGUUAAUAAACUUGAGCUUAAAAUUUAUUGAAUGUUAUAUACUAUUAAGAUCACUGUGCAGCUUAUUGGAAAAAAGUAUCUACACAAUUGCUUGGAACCGGGCUGUGCUUAAAUUCAAAGCAUUUGUGCUUGUGCAAAAAUUUUGGUUCAGCUAAAAUAUUGUAAAUUAUGUUUUUUUAAAGCUAAACUCUAGCAUUGUUCAACCAUGUAUAUUAAUAAAUAGUCAAUGAGUCUUGAUAACUUGGUUUUGGAAUCCUCGAAUGAGGAUUGAUAUCAUUUGGAUGGCCAAAAUUGAUGGGAAUCCUUUUUGAGGAGUUUUGAGAUGCCCAUGACUGAAAUUUUAUAUAAAAUUCAUCUGUCCUUUGAUGGUUUUUACAGCAUUUUGUUGUUAGAAACAUCAUAUUCUAAACCAUGCUCAAAUCAUUUAGGCAAGUUUGUCUCUGAGAAUAUUUUCAGU